GACGUAGGGCGCGAGCGUUGUCCGGAUUUAUUGGGCGUAAAGAGCUCGUAGGCGGCUUGUCGCGUCGACUGUGAAAUCCCGCGGCUCAACUGCGGGUCUGCAGUCGAUACGGGCAGGCCUAGAGUUCGGUAGGGGGAGACUGGAAUUCCUGGUGUAGCGGUGAAAUGCGCAGAUAUCAGGAGGAACACCCGGUGGCGAAGGCGGCAUCCUGGACCGACAUUGACGCUGAGUGAGCGAAAGCUAGGGGGAGCAAACGGG
rnacentral:rRNA from 1 species